rnacentral:rRNA from 1 species
CAGUCGCCACGGGAAUACGAAGGGUGCAAGCGUUACUCGGAAUUACUGGGCGUAAAGCGUGCGUAGGUGGUGGUUUAAGUCCGUUGUGAAAGCCCUGGGCUCAACCUGGGGAUUGCAGUGGAUACUGGGUCACUAGAGUGUGGUAGAGGAUAGUGGAAUUUCCGGUGUAGCAGUGAAAUGCGUAGAGAUCGGAAGGAACAUCUGUGGCGAAGGCGACUGUCUGGGCCAACACUGACACUGAGGCACGAAAGCGUGGGGAGCAAACAGGAUUAGAUACCCCCGUAGUCCCUGUCUCUUAUAC